rnacentral:lncRNA from 1 species
AGUCUGGCCAUGUCACCAGGCUGAGAGGGACGGCCCACCCAACAGAAGCCACAACAGGUCCCCAAAGAAUUUCUGCAGGCUGGGACUCCUGAGUGAAAUGAAGAAGUGGGAUUCAACAGAGAGAAAUGUGAAGUCUGCCAGCUAGCCCUGAGAAGCAGGCAUGACAAGAGAGGAUGCCCGUGUUACAGAUGAGAAAAACAGAGGCCCUGGGAGGAAGCUUGCCUAAUGCCACUCAGGAGGUAGAGGCAAAGCUGGGAAAGGCCCUGGGUCCCCAGACUGCCCCUCUGGAACUCCACAUGCAGCCACCUGGCUGUCCUGCCCGGGAUGCCAUCCGCAGGCUAGGCUGGCGCUCAUGCCCAUGCCCUGCUGUCCACUGACACCCCGCAGAGCUUAACACCCCGCUGAGCCUGCCCUGCAGCCCUUGCCAAGUCUGUCCGAGUGGCCUCAGUCAUUGGCAAGUCACAUUGCUGACAUCGCAACUGCAUAAAAUUAAUUUAUUUAGUUAA